rnacentral:tRNA from 1 species
GGCGUCGUGGCCGAGUGGUUAGGCAGGGGUCUGCAAAACCUCUUACACCGGUUCAAUUCCGGUCGACGCCUCCA